UUUAUCUAUAAAUUGUUUGUAGGUAAAUUUAAAUGUACCGUAAUGAAAUUAUGAUAUUUUCUCAUGUAUGUUUUAUUGUUCUAUCCUAAACUUAAUUAUUAUACUUAGUUCAGAAGGAUGUGCAUUCAUGCUCGAAAAGUAGUCCUUACGAAUGCGCGCUAUGUCAGGCAAGGCCCUGAUGGGUAUUUUAUAUAGCGGACAUUCGUUCACUUGCUUUAAGCGAUGCUGGUCUGUCUCCAUUUUACUCCGACACGCUUAAGCUUUGCCGUCAAUGUAGCCUGUUUGUGUUGCACCAUUUAAACAGCCGCUGAGGCGUAAGUUGAGGUUACUGAGGUUACAAACCACGCUACAAAGCUACAAUUGACGAUGACGUAUGAUUUUUCUUACCCGUGUGACAUUUAGUCUAGGGUGAGUUGCGUAGGAAUAUUUAUGUUAUGUAUUCAAUAAUAUUGAUUGGAGUCAUGACUGUUUGAUAUCUAUACAUGUAUUUACAGAUAAUAUUGAAUACUAUGUAUUUUAUUUCUUGGUUUCUUAAUUGCAUUUCAAUGUUUAUGAACUGAACUGAACCGUACUGCAUUUUGUCUACAGAAAUUUAAUCACAAUCCAUAUGAUGACUUGCAUGAUUUUUAUAAUGUGAUUAUUGUACUUAUGAUGCUUUUGUUUUAUUUUUCUGUACAAUGCAGGGGUUUUCCGUUUUUAUUUAUAAACGAAAUAAACUUCAUUGCACUUCACCAUGGCGUCUCAACUUCUUCAUUUUUGUUGGCUAUAAUUUAAACCGUGGAACACGCGUCCCACAGAUACAUAGGAGGAAUUUUUGUAUUUCCUUCAUAAAUAAAUGGGGGCUUUUUUUUGCUGAUAAAGGAAAUUUCAUGGCAGGUGUGCCCAUAUGAGCUGGCAAUAAAGCAAAAGAAAAAUAAGAAAAAGAAAAAA